rnacentral:lncRNA from 1 species
UAAAACAGCACUCUCCUUCGACCUACUCUCUUAACAAAGCAUCGUUUUAUGCGCUGAAGAACAAAAGUAACUGGAA